AUACAGAGGGUGCGAGCGUUAAUCGGAAUUACUGGGCGUAAAGCGCGCGUAGGCGGCUUGGUCAGUCGGAUGUGAAAGCCCCGGGCUCAACCUGGGAAUGGCAUUCGAUACUGCCAGGCUAGAGUAUGGGAGGGGGAAGUGGAAUUUCCGGUGUAGCGGUGAAAUGCGUAGAUAUCGGAAGGAACACCAGUGGCGAAGGCGACUUCCUGGCCCAAUACUGACGCUGAGGUGCGAAAGCGUGGGGAGCGAACAGGAUUAGAAACCCUAGUAGUCC
rnacentral:rRNA from 1 species